rnacentral:sRNA from 1 species
UUUUUUUAUUUGGUAAUUUUCGUAGAGACGGGGUUUUGCCAUGUUGCCCAAGCUGGUAUGAACUCUUGAGCUUGUGCGACCUGCCUGCCUGCCUCAGCCUCCCAAAGUGCUGGUAUUACAGUUGUGGGCCACCACACCUGGCCAACUUUGGAGUUUUAAGUGCAGUUUUGUGAUUACAGUAGAGUACUGCUGCUGUAAAAAUAACAUGAUUUAAUUUCAUGCCAUAUUUUACAAACAUUGCUUUAGUAUGGACAAAAACUUAAUGUAUUUCUGUUCUUUUCUUUCCAUUCCAAAUCAUGACAAAUUACAUAGCUAACAUUUAGCCUAAGUUUUUUUCUCUUAUUACAGAAUAUUUAAAGGUUAGAUCACAUGAUCCAGAAGAAGCUAUUCGUCAUGAUGUCAUUGUUACUAUAAUAACAGCUGCCAAGAGGGACCUGGCCUUAGUAAAUGAUCAGCUGCUUGGCUUUGUAAGGGAAAGAACACUGGAUAAACGGUGGCGAGUAAGAAAAGAAGCUAUGAUGGGUCUGGCUCAGCUUUAUAAGAAAUACUGUCUUCAUGGUGAAGCAGGAAAGGAAGCUGCAGAGAAAGUCAGCUGGAUAAAGGACAAACUUCUGCAUAUUUAUUAUCAGAACAGCAUUGACGAC